rnacentral:tRNA from 1 species
GGCCCGGUAGCUCAUCUGGAUAGAGCAACUGCCUUCUAAGCAGUAGGUAGCGAGUUCGAGUCUCGCCCGGGCUACCA